GCAGUGGGGAAUCUUGCGCAAUGGGCGAAAGCCUGACGCAGCGACGCCGCGUGAGCGAUGAAGGCCUUCGGGUCGUAAAGCUCUGUCAGAGGGGACGAUAAUGACGGUACCCUCAGAGGAAGCCCCGGCUAACUACGUGCCAGCAGCCGCGGUAAGACGUAGGGGGCUAGCGUUGUCCGGAAUUACUGGGCGUAAAGGGCGCGCAGGCGGUUCUUUAAGUCAGAGGUGAAAACUGUCGGCUCAACCGGCAGACUGCCUAUGAAACUGGAGGACUUGAGGGCAGGAGAGGGGAGUGGAAUUCCCAGUGUAGCGGUGAAAUGCGUAGAUAUUGGGAGGAACACCAGUGGCGAAGGCGACUCUCUGGCCUGUUACUGACGCUGAGGCGCGAAAGCGUGGGGAUCAAACAGGAUUAGAUACCCCAGUAGUCC
rnacentral:rRNA from 1 species